rnacentral:rRNA from 1 species
UGGGGAAUAUUGCACAAUGGGCGAAAGCCUGAUGCAGCGACGCCGCGUGAGGGAUGACGGCCUUCGGGUUGUAAACCUCUUUCAGCAGGGACGAAGCGCAAGUUACGGUACCUGCAGAAGAAGCACCGGCUAACUACGUGCCAGCAGCCGCGGUAAUACGUAGGGUGCAAGCGUUGUCCGGAAUUACUGGGCGUAAAGAGUUCGUAGGCGGUUUGUCGCGUCGUUUGUGAAAACCAGCAGCUCAACUGCUGGCUUGCAGGCGAUACGGGCAGACUUGAGUACUGCAGGGGAGACUGGAAUUCCUGGUGUAGCGGUGAAAUGCGCAGAUCUCAGGAGGAACACCGGUGGCGAAGGCGGGUCUCUGGGCAGUAACUGACGCUGAGGAACGAAAGCGUGGGUAGCGAACAGG